rnacentral:rRNA from 1 species
UGAACGCUGGCGGCGUGCCUAACACAUGCAAAUCGAACGAAGCAUACGGACUGGAGAUUCGUCGAAGGACUGUAUGACUUAGUGGCGGACGGGUGAGUAAUGUAUGAGCAACCUGCCUUCAGAGGGGGACAACAGUUGGAAACGACUGCUAAUACCGCAUAAUGUAUGAUGAGGACAUCCUCGACAUAACCAAAGGAGCAAUCCGCUGGAAAAGAUGGGCUCAUAUCUGAUUAGCUUGUUGGCGGGGUAACGGCCCACCAAGGCGACGAUCAGUAGCCGGACUGAGAGGUUGAACGGCCACAUUGGGACUGAGAUACGGCCCAGACUCCUACGGGAGGCAGCAGUGGGGAAUAUUGGGCAAUGGGCGAAAGCCUGAACCCCAGCAACGCCGCGUGAAGGAAGAAGGUCUUCGGAUUGUAAACUUCUUUUAUGAGGGACGAAGGACGUGACGGUACCUCAUGAAUAAGCCACGGCUAACUACGUGCCAGCAGCCGC